CCGAGUUUACAACUCCCAAACCCCUGUGAACAUACCUAUACGUUGCCUCGGCGGAUCAGCCCCGCGCCCCGUAAAAAAGGGACGGCCCGCCCGAGGACCCCUAAACUCUGUUUUUAGUGGAAACUUCUGAGUAAAACAAACAAAUAAAUCA
rnacentral:misc_RNA from 1 species